rnacentral:rRNA from 1 species
AACCCUAGUCAAUAGACCCACGGCGUAAAACGUGUUUAAGGAACUUCCCUAUAAAGUCAAACCCUAGCUAUGCUGUAAAAAGCUACAGCUACUGUAAGCUCUAAUACGAAAGUAACUUUAAAAUGCCUGAAUACACGACAGCUAAGACCCAAACUGGGAUUAGAUACCCCACUAUGCUUAGCCCUAAACCUAAAGAGCCCUCCUAACAAGGCUCUUCGCCAGAGUACUACUAGCCAAAGCUUAAAACUCAAGGGACUUGGCGGUGCUUUAUAUCCCUCUAGAGGAGCCUGUUCUAUAAUCGAUAAACCCCGAUAAACCUCACCAACCCUUGCCAACU